rnacentral:rRNA from 1 species
GACGAACGCUGGCGGCGUGCUUAACACAUGCAAGUCGAGCGGUAAGGCCCUUUCGGGGGUACACGAGCGGCGAACGGGUGAGUAACACGUGGGUGACCUGCCCUUAGCUCUGGGAUAAGCCUGGGAAACUGGGUCUAAUACCGGAUAUGACUCCAUGACGCAUGUUGUGGGGUGGAAAGCCUUGUGCGGCUGGGGAUGGGCCCGCGGCCUAUCAGCUUGUUGGUGAGGUAACGGCUCACCAAGGCUU